rnacentral:misc_RNA from 1 species
GAUGAAGAACGCAGCGAAAUGCGAUAAGUAAUGUGAAUUGCAGAAUUCGGUGAAUCAUCGAAUCUUUGAACGCACAUUGCGCCCGCCAGUAUUCUGGCGGGCAUGCCUGUUCGAGCGUCAUUACAACCCUCAGGCCCCCGGGCCUGGCGUUGGGGAUCGGCGGAAGCCCCCUGCGGGCACAACGCCGUCCCCCAAAUACAGUGGCGGUCCCGCCGCAGCUUCCAUUGCGUAGUAGCUAACACCUCGCAACUGGAGAGCGGCGCGGCCACGCCGUAAAACACCCAACUUCUGAAUGUUGACCUCGAAUCAGGUAGGAAUACCCGCUGAACUUAAGCAUAUCAAUAAGCGGAGGA